rnacentral:lncRNA from 1 species
AUUAAACCCAAAAAAACCAUAAAGAUAAACAGAAACACGUGUCUUGCAAUAAGAUAGGUCUUUGCUCAUCACCGACUGACCUACACCGCCGGCCGAUUUACCGUCAAAGCUUCAAUACCCAAACUUACAGCAAUGCUUCAUCUAUGAGGCUAUCCUCGCCACGAUCGGACCAGGCCAAACUCCUCAGAGAACCACCAUAAUUUCUGGAAUAUGCAUAUAUACGGAAGCAUGUCUCGACCAGCUCGGCCUCGCCGAUAUUUCUAUCGCUACAGGUUCGAUUCCGUGAUGGGGCUCGCUGAUCUUUUUUUUAAUCUGAUAUGUUAAAAAGUUGGAUGCUGAUAUGUCAAGCUUGUGAG